GCUCAGAACGAACGCUGGCGGCAGGCUUAACACAUGCAAGUCGAGCGCCCCGCAAGGGGAGCGGCAGACGGGUGAGUAACGCGUGGGAAUCUACCCAUCUCUACGGAACAACUCCGGGAAACUGGAGCUAAUACCGUAUACGUCCUUUUGGAGAAAGAUUUAUCGGAGAUGGAUGAGCCCGCGUUGGAUUAGCUAGUUGGUGGGGUAAUGGCCUACCAAGGCGACGAUCCAUAGCUGGUCUGAGAGGAUGAUCAGCCACACUGGGACUGAGACACGGCCCAGACUCCUACGGGAGGCAGCAGUGGGGAAUAUUGGACAAUGGGCGCAAGCCUGAUCCAGCCAUGCCGCGUGAGUGAUGAAGGCCCUAGGGUUGUAAAGCUCUUUCAACGGUGAAGAUAAUGACGGUAACCGUA
rnacentral:rRNA from 1 species